UACGUAGGCAGCAAGCGUUGUUCGGAAUUACUGGGCGUAAAGAGUGUGUAGGUGGUGCUCCAAGUCUGUUGUGAAAUCUCCCGGCUUAACUGGGAGGGUGCGGCGGAUACUGGAGUGCUUGAGGAUGGGAGAGGAAAGCGGAAUUCCUGGUGUAGCGGUGAAAUGCGUAGAUAUCAGGAGGAACACCCGUGGUGUAGACAGCUUUCUGGACCAUUUCUGACACUGAGACACGAAAGCGUGGGUAGCAAACAGG
rnacentral:rRNA from 1 species